UCCAGCAGCGUGAUGGUCAGAUUUCAGAGCGCACGCCUCCCUGUGUUCUCAGCACCGAGCGAGACCACAGAGGCACCGUGAGGCUCUCGAGAGAACAGAGACCGGGUCCUGCUCUGACCAUUCUCUGCAAUGAAUGAACAGAUGCUAAAGGUGACAAGGCCUGAUGCAGAGCACCUGAAGCCCCUGCUGCUGGAUAAACAGUGAAAGCUACACAGCUGCUGGCAACAAUGGGGACACUUGUUCCAAAGUACUCUGCCAGAUGCCUGUGUGGCGAGAAGCUGAUUUGCUCUCUGGGUUCCAGGCUCCUGCCUGCUGCGAUCUGUGUGACCCUGAGGAAUCUCACUGCUUCCUGUCCAUUGAAUGGAGGCACAAUAAUUCCAAAUGUUCUUCUGUACACUCAAAGGUGCUGCAUAUACAUGUCAGAUUACUGUCAUUAUCUUCUCUCCUCGGUACCCUUCUAAUGUCUCCAGGGGGCGUUCUUGUCAGCAAGAAGGUCCCUGCCAGCUCUGAUAGUUUACAGUAUAAUUCUUUAUUCAUUCAUUUAUUCAUUCACUUUUUCAACAAAUAUUUAUUGAGUUGGGGCUACUAGAGUGAAUAGGAAUGCAAAGUCCCUGCCCUCAUGGAGCUUGCUUUCUAGGAAAGUGACAGACAAUAAACAAGAAGACGACUAAGAUCAUUUGAAAGUGUAAUAAAUGCUACAAAGAAAAUAAAUGUAAUGGGGAGUCAA